rnacentral:lncRNA from 1 species
GUACAAAAUAUCUUGAGAAGGAUGUAGUGAAAGCAUGUUCAUUCUCAUUUUCUUUUCAUUCUAAUUUAUAGACACAGAAAUUGGGACUCCAGCAAGUUCAAUGACCAAUUACCCUAGAUGGCAGACUAUCUAUCUUCCGUAUUCAACCUUGAUUAGCUGUAAACAGCUGUCUGAAAGAUGAAGAAAUGAAGCAAACCUGGUUAAGUGAUGUGCCCAGGUUGACACAGCUAGUGAGUUG